ACGAACGCUGGCGGCGUGCUUAACACAUGCAAGUCGAACGCUGAAGCUCAGCUUUUGUUGGGUGGAUGAGUGGCGAACGGGUGAGUAACACGUGAGUAACCUGCCCCCUUCUUUGGGAUAACGCCCGGAAACGGGUGCUAAUACUGGAUAUUCACUGGUCUUCGCAUGGGGGUUGGUGGAAAGGGUUUUUCUGGUGGGGGAUGGGCUCGCGGCCUAUCAGCUUGUUGGUGGGGUGAUGGCCUACCAAGGCUUUGACGGGUAGCCGGCCUGAGAGGGUGACCGGUCACAUUGGGACUGAGAUACGGCCCAGACUCCUACGGGAGGCAGCAGUGGGGAAUAUUGCACAAUGGGCGCAAGCGUGAUGCAGCGACGCCGCGUGAGGGAUGGAGGCCUUCGGGUUGUGAACCUCUUUCGCUCAUGGUCAAGCCGCAACAAUGGUUGUGGUGAGGGUAGUGGGUAAAGAAGCGCCGGCUAACUACGUG
rnacentral:rRNA from 1 species